rnacentral:misc_RNA from 1 species
GAAAUGCGAUAAGUAAUGUGAAUUGCAGAAUUCAGUGAAUCAUCGAAUCUUUGAACGCACAUUGCGCCCCCUGGUAUUCCGGGGGGCAUGCCUGUUCGAGCGUCAUUUCACCACUCAAGCCUCGCUUGGUAUUGGGCGACGCGGUCCGCCGCGCGCCUCAAAUCGACCGGCUGGGUCUUCCGCCCCCUCAGCGUUGUGGAAACUAUUCGCUAAAGGGUGCCGCGGGAGGUCACGCCGCAAAACAACCCCAUUUCUAAGGUUGACCUCGGAUCAGGUAGGGAUACCCGCUGAACUUAAGC